AAAUCCUGGUUUCCUUAUCACGGUACUAAACUAGGGAUAUCUUCUUUCCAACAAAAAAAGAAUUAUCAAAAUCGGUACACCCAGUAAAAAGUUAUUGCGGAUUUUCAAGAGUUUCCCUCGAUUUCUCUAGGAUUCCAUCAUCAGAUCCUGGUUUCCUUAUCAUGGUACUAAAUUUGGGAUAUCUCCUUUCCAACAAAAAAAGAAUUAUCAAAAUCGGUACAUCCAGCAGAAAGUUAUGCGGUAUAAUACAACGUAGGUCGACGAAAAAAGCGUCAAGUAAAAACGCAUUAUUAGAUAUAGCUCGAAAAGUAGUUGUUAGAUCUCAAAUAAAUUUAAAUGGGACCAAUUGGCACACACCACCUUUCGAUUAAAAGAAAAUUUGUCGAAAUCGCUCCACCCAGUCAAAAGUUCUGAUGUA
rnacentral:misc_RNA from 1 species